rnacentral:lncRNA from 1 species
CGGCAAGUGGCUUGGUUGGGGCCUCAGCUCUUCGAUGUUAGGCUUGUCUGCGAGGUCUGUGGUAUUAGGCCCGGACUAUCAGCAUCCCUUCAUCAGAUGGAUAGGAGUAGCGAUAAUUGUCGCCUAGAUGGUGGCUUCAGACUUACUGUUAUAUUUCUUUGUAAGGUCUUUUAUGAAUAAUUAAUAAAAUGGCUGCAUGCAUCGUCCAGAUGCAGAGGCCGGGGCCGAUCCUCCUUUUCUAAAAAAA